rnacentral:rRNA from 1 species
AACGAACGCUGGCGGCAUGCCUAACACAUGCAAGUCGAACGAGACCCUUCGGGUCUAGUGGCGCACGGGUGCGUAACGCGUGGGAACCUGCCUUUAGGUUCGGAAUAACUCAGAGAAAUUUGAGCUAAUACCGGAUAAUGUCUUCGGACCAAAGAUUUAUCGCCUUUAGAUGGGCCCGCGUAAGAUUAGCUAGUUGGUGGGGUAAAGGCCUACCAAGGCGACGAUCUUUAGCUGGUCUGAGAGGAUGAUCAGCCACACUGGGACUGAGACACGGCCCAGACUCCUACGGGAGGCAGCAGUGGGGAAUAUUGGACAAUGGGCGAAAGCCUGAUCCAGCAAUGCCGCGUGAGUGAUGAAGGCCUUAGGGGUUGUAAAAGCUCUUUUACCCGUAGAUGAUAAUGACAGUAUCGGGAGAAUAAGCUCCGGCUAACUCCGUGCCAGCAGCCGCGGUAA